UGGGGAAUAUUGGACAAUGGGCGAAAGCCUGAUCCAGCCAUGCCGCGUGUGUGAAGAAGGCCUUUUGGUUGUAAAGCACUUUAAGCGAGGAGGAGGCUACUUAGAUUAAUACUCUAGGAUAGUGGACGUUACUCGCAGAAUAAGCACCGGCUAACUCUGAGCCAGCAGCCGCGGUAAUACAGAGGGUGCGAGCGUUAAUCGGAUUUACUGGGCGUAAAGCGUGCGUAGGCGGCUUUUUAAGUCGGAUGUGAAAUCCCUGAGCUUAAAUUAGGAAUUGCAUUCGAUACUGGGAAGCUAGAGUAUUGGAGAGGAUGGUAGAAGUCCAGGUGUAGCGGUGAAAUGCGUAGAGAUCUGGAGGAAUACCGAUGGCGAAGGCAGCCAUCUGGCCUAAUACUGACGCUGAGGUACGAAAGCAUGGGGAGCAAACAGG
rnacentral:rRNA from 1 species